UACGUAGGGGGCAAGCGUUGUUCGGAAUUACUGGGCGUAAAGGGCUCGUAGGUGGCCAACUAAGUCAGACGUGAAAUCCCUCGGCUUAACCGGGGAACUGCAUCUGAUACUGGAUGGCUUGAGAUUGGGAGAGGGAUGCGGAAUUCCAGGUGUAGCGGUGAAAUGCGUAGAUAUCUGGAGGAACACCGGUGGCGAAGGCGGCAUCCUGGACCAACACUGACGCUGAGGAGCGAAAGCCAGGGGAGCAAACGGG
rnacentral:rRNA from 1 species